rnacentral:rRNA from 1 species
UACGUAGGGGGCAAGCGUUGUCCGGAAUCACUGGGCGUAAAGGGCGCGUAGGCGGCAGGCCAAGCGUGCGGUGAAAGUCCGGGGCUCAACCCCGGAUCUGCCGUGCGGACUGGUUUGCUAGAGCACUGUAGAGGCGAGUGGAAUUCCGGGUGUAGCGGUGGAAUGCGUAGAGAUCCGGAAGAACACCGGUGGCGAAGGCGGCUCGCUGGGCAGUGGCUGACGCUGAGGCGCGACAGCGUGGGGAGCAAACAGG